AUGAUUCGAUGCUUCCACAAGUGGGAGUCCCUAACUUACAUGAUUUUCACUCAAGGUAUCAGUGGUGAUGAAAUCCGGUUGGAUCAGUCAUCUGCUGAGAUAAAGAGACCUGGAGAAACAGUGAAGAUCUCCUGUAAAAUAUCUGGUUUUACAAUGACAGACUACUACAUGAACUGGAUACGACAGAAACCAGGGAAAGCUCUGGAGUGGAUUGGGAGAGUUAACCCUGGCAGUAGUUCUAGCUCUGAUUAUCUUAUUUAUGCAGACUCCAUGAAAAAUCACUUCACUAUGAGUGAGGACGUGUCUCAAAGUACACAGUAUCUUGAAGCCAAGAGUCUGAGAGAAGAGGAUACUGCUGUGCAUUACUGUCCUCGAGAGACACACUGA